AAACUUGAGUUUCAUUUUGUCAAAGUCCCUUAAGCCUAACUCACUAGAGUAAUUAGCCGAUAGGCUCUAAGUGGGAGCUUUUGCUCCCGGAAAGGUCAUAUAUUCGUCGGAAUAGUUUCAUCAUUUGUGCCAAGCAACUCGAACCAGAGGGGCCUUUCUGACAGAGAAAUACAUUGCCACGUUUGGUGUCGGUGUGGCUCACUUAAGGGCAAAAAUAUCAGACCUACAGGGCAAUAAUCUCGGAGCUUGCCGCUUAGAGAAGGGAAUGUAAGGAUUGAUCAAGAACCAAUACUCCCAACAUGCGGGGUGGGAGAUAUCAUAUAAGGAGGGAAUAGCUUCCCAUCUUAGGCCAAUUUACAACACAGCUUACUUACUACCUUUCAUCCAUGCUAUGGUUAGGAAUCGAGCGAGGUACCAGACAGAGGCAGGUUUUCCACACUACAUUUGGCGAAUGUGGGCACUUCUGGAGGAGAUUUUGAGAACAAAAGAAAAGUUUCAUCAGUGUCAGAUCAGAUGCAUCAGUUUCUCAUUUUUCUAAUUCGGUGAAUCGCGCUUCCAAGUUAGUCACUAAUGCUGUUGUGGU